AUUUUUAUUAGGAUCCUUUUGUCGAAGAAGAAAAACCUGUUGAAGUUGAAACGAGGAAAUCUCCGCGUAAAUCCAAAGUAUGCUCUAUGUUUUUUUUUAAUAUGUUUUUUUGCUGUUUAUUCAUGUUUUUGUUUAUUUAUUUUUUUGGGAUGAAACUGAUUUUUUGUUGUUUUGUUUAAGGUCGAUAAUGUUGUGGAAGAUAUUCCCUUGAAAGCUCCAACAAGAAGAUCUCCCCGGAAACUUUAAGUUGAUAAUCAAGAUGUUAAAGGUGAUGUUACUGAUUAUGUUUCUCACAAACACCGUAGUAAAAAAGUCAGUAAGAAGGCUACUAAUGUCCUUCAAGCAGUCAAUGAUGAUGAUUUUUCAGACUCAGAAGGUUGUGGCGGAAGUUGUUUCAAGCAAGAAAAUGAAAGUUGUUAUUGAUGACGCUAGUGCAUCAAAGAAAAGUAAAACUAAGGAUGUGGUGGAGGAUUUUAAUUUGGUAUGUCUUCUUUUUUCCUUAUAUUUUCUUGGUUGUUUUGUGUAUUGUAUUUGUUGGACAGUUGUGAUCUUGGACAUAUUUUUUUACUUUGAAUGUUGAGGUACUCUUAAACUUUGAAGCUCUCAGAAACCAGUUACAGUUGCCAUCCACACAAGUCACCACAUACUCUCUUGGUUCAGAUCUUUUGGUUUUAAACUGAAAAUUGUUAAUCAUAGCAAAAAAACCCCACUGCAGUCUUCAAUAUUUUUCUGUCCUUGUAGAUCUGUCCUUUUUCAAUGUUGAAAACCUUAUGAUCUGUUAUUAUUUGUCUUUCUUCUUCUUGUCUUUUCCUUUUGUGUUCUUGUGUUUUCUCAAUGAUACAAUCAGCAACACUAUCAGCUACUUGAAAUAUGUUUGGUAAGGCAAGUACCUCGUUUAUUUCUGAGGUUUCUCUAUCGUAUUCCAUAUAGUCGUAUGUUGGCUGAUUGGUUAUUUGUAAAACCAGUUUCUGAACAUCUGUAUCUUGUCUUACAGAUUCACUUUCUGGUUUUUGUUGAGCAAUGAUCUGGAGUCUUGUUUCGUCUAUUGUUGUGAUGCAGAGUGGAGACUCACUAACUGCAUUUUGUGUCUUUCUCAGUUGUAAGUAGAACAUCAGUGAGUUGUCACUAAUUAUUUUCAUUGGUGGUGAGUCUGGGCAUAACUGGUAAUGCAUUUCUAUUGUUGUGUUGCAUUUGAUUUCAGCCUUUACUAAUUCCAACAAACUUUUUAGAUCACAGUUUGUUGGUAUUAGUAGUCCAGUCAUUAUGUAGUCUUCAUACUUUUUAUCCUCUUUCCAUUGCCUUCCAUAUUUGAUCACACACAUUAUUGAGUCCAUACCUGUACACAGUAUUUUAAAUAGUGUUAGUUAAAAAUUACAAUGUAUUGAGAAACUGGUUUUCUUAUUUUUUUUGUUUUGUUUUUAUUUGUUUUAAAAUUAUAUGUGUUUGUUUCCCUAUAUAUUUCAGAAACCGGUUUCCAACAUUACUUUAUAUUUUGUUUAUGUUUAACUGAUAAUAUUAUUUUAAGAACUUUUAGUUAAAAUAUAUAUUGUUUUUAGAAACCGGUUUUUUUUUUUGUUUUAAAAUUAUAAUGUGUUUGUUUCACUAUAUAUUUCAGAAACCGGUUUCCAACAUGACUGUAUAUUUGUUUAUUUUUAACAGGUAAUAUCAUUUUUGAAAACUGUUUGUUACAAUUUAUAAUGUAUUUAGAAACCGGUUUUUGUUUUUUUUGUUUUAAAAUUAUAUGUGUUUGUUUCCCUAUAUAUUUCAGAAACCGGUUUCCAACAUUACUUUAUAUUUUGUUUAUGUUUAACAGAUAAUAUCAUUUUAAGAACUUUUAGUUAAAAUAUAUAGUGUUUUUAGAAACCGGUUUUAUAUUCAUAAUUUUCAGUAAUCUUUUCAUUUUUGAUCGUGGACGUCUAAAACUGAAUUUUUCAUAAUGUUUAAUUUUCCUUUUCUUUUUUUUUUUUUGUUUGUGAAACUUCAUAGUCUAAAUCUAGAUUAAGUAUGGACAUUUCAUUAUGAAGCAAUGCAAGAUCAUAUAGUUUUGGUAUGAAAUUUACUUCAAUCUAGUUUUUUUUUUUCUUUUAAGUUUAAAUUGGAAUUGUACAUAAUCGGUGUAAUUUUCUUUUGCAGUAUAUAUAUCCCUAUAAUAUUCAUAGCAGAAUUUAUAUAAGUGUACCUGUAUUUUAUUUUGAUCGUUGUUGACAGGGACGAUCGGUGUUGGCUUGAUUUUGUUGAUUGAAUUUUAUGUGUGCAGGUUGAUCGAUGCUCUGCUCUGAGUUUAAGAAUGCGUUUUCUGGUUUAAGGUGAGAGCUUCAUUGCUUAUCAGGUGCGAUGUUGCAGGUUGCUUCUGUGUGUUUGGCCAUGGCCAUGGCUGUUUUUCAGAUCAGUUUUGUUUGAAUCAGAGAAUAAAUUUGGACAAGGAGAAGUGAUGAAUUGAAUCGGAGAAGAUGAUGAAGUGAAGAGAGAAUCACAGUAGAGAGAGAAGAGAGAAUCUCAGUAUCGCAGUAAAGAGAGAAGAGAGAAUCGCAGUAGAGAGAGAAAGAAUCGCAGGAGAGAGAAAAUUGUGUACAGAUUUUGUUUAUAUAUGGUUAAAAAUAGUAAAUUUUAUUCAUUUAAAAUUAGUUUCUGUUUUUAACUUAUUAUAUGGUUUUUUUUUUAAAAAAAACCAUAUUUGUAGUUUGCUUCCUUAGUUAAUGCCAUAUUUUGUGGCAUUUAGUUUUGUUGCCAUAUUUAUCAUAA